UGGGGAAUAUUGGACAAUGGGGGCAACCCUGAUCCAGCGACGCCGCGUGUGUGAAGAAGGCCUGCGGGUUGUAAAGCACUUUUAGUGGGGAUGAAAAGCCGAAGGCUAAUACCUUUCGGUCUUGACCUAACCCACAGAAAAAGCACCGGCUAACUCUGUGCCAGCAGCCGCGGUAAUACAGAGGGUGCGAGCGUUAAUCGGAAUUACUGGGCGUAAAGCGUGCGUAGACGGUUAUGUAAGUCAGAUGUGAAAGCCCCGGGCUCAACCUGGGAAUUGCAUUUGAGACUGCAUAGCUAGGGUGCGGAAGAGGGAAGCGGAAUUUCCGGUGUAGCGGUGAAAUGCGUAGAUAUCGGAAGGAACACCAGUGGCGAAAGCGGCUUCCUGGUCCAGCACCGACGUUCAGGCACGAAAGCGUGGGGAGCAAACA
rnacentral:rRNA from 1 species